rnacentral:rRNA from 1 species
GACGAACGCUGGCGGCGUGCUUAACACAUGCAAGUCGAACGGAAAGGCCCUGCUUUUUUGGUGUUCUCGAGUGGCGAACGGGUGAGUAACACGUUAGUAACCUGCCCUUGACUUUCGUAUAACUUCAGGAAACUGGGGCUAAUACCGUAUAGGAUCUCCUGCUGCAUUGUGGGGGUUGGAUAUUUUCGGCUGUUGGGGAUGGACUCGCGGCUUAUCAGCUUGUUGGUUGGGUAGUGGCUUACCAAGGCUUUGACGGGUAGCCGGCAUGUGAGGGUGAACGGGGACAAGAGGACUAAGAGAGGGAGCAGAGGGGAAUGGGAGGCAGAGGGGGGAAAUAUGACACAAUGGGAGGAAGCCUGAGGAAGAAACGCGGGGGGGGGGAUGACGGCCUGAGGGUUGAAAAAAGCAUUAGGCUGAGACGAAGCGGGAGUGACGGUAAUGGAUAAAGAAGCACCGGCUAACUACGUG